ACACAGCAUGGACAUGAGGGCUCCUGCUCAGCUCCUGGGGCUCCUCCUGCUCUGGCUUCCAGGUUUCAGAUGUGACAUCCAGAUGACCCAGUCUCCAUCUUUCCUGUCUGCAUCUCCAGGAGACAGAGUCUCCAUCACUUGCCAGGCCAGUCAGGGCAUUAACCAAUAUUUAAACUGGUAUCAGCAGAAACCAGGGAAUGCUCCAAAGCUUCUGAUCUAUAAUGCAAAGAAUUUAGCCUCUGGAAUUCCAUCAAGGUUCAGUGGGAGUCAAUCUGGGACAGAGUUCACUCUCACCAUCAGCAGCCUGCAGCCUGAGGAUUUUUCCACUUAUUACUGUCUACAGCAUAAUAGUUACCCUCCCACAGUGAUACAAUGCCUAAAGAAACAUGUCUCAUUGACUGUAUUUAAGGCAACGUGGCCCAAGAUUGAGGACAAAAGCAGCACUUCAGCUUCCAUCACAAACUUCACAGAAAUUGAGUCAGAGAUUUUGCUGCUGCUGCUGCUUCCUCUCUGCUCAGUCCUGCUUUCUCCCAUGGUCAUUGUUUGCAUCAGUGGCUGUGAUCCUGCAUAA